UGAAAAUGAUGAUCACACACCUACCUAUAUGUUUUUUCUGGCAUCUCUAAUGUUAGGGCGGGUCAGUUUAAGUACUAUCUGCUCGAUGAAUACAACUCGUGACAAUAUCUGACC
rnacentral:snoRNA from 1 species